GGACCCGCACAAGCGGUGGAGCAUGUGGUUUAAUUCGAUGCAACGCGAAAAAACCUUACCUACACUUGACAUACUUGGAAUCUUUUGUAAUGAAAGAGUGCCUUUUGGAGCCAAGAUACAGGUGCUGCAUGGCUGUCGUCAGCUCGUGUUGUGAAAUGUCAAGUUAAGUCUUGUAACGAGCGCAACCCAUGUCUUUUGUUGCUGUUUACAGUGCUUAAAAGAGACUGCCGCUCUACAGCGGAGGAAGGUGUGGAUGAUGUCAAGUCAGCAUGCCCCUUAUAUCUUGGGGCUACACACGUACUACAAUGGUAGGGACAAUGAGUCGCAAACCUGCGAAGGCU
rnacentral:rRNA from 1 species